UACGAGAGGCCCAAACGUUAUUCGGAAUUACUGGGCUUAAAGAGUUCGUAGGCGGCAUGACAAGUAGGGUGUGAAAGCCCUCGGCUCAACCGAGGAAUUGCGCUCUAAACUGUCGUGCUUGAGGAACCUAGAGGUGAGCAGAACAGAUGGUGGAGCGGUGAAAUGCGUUGAUAUCGGGAGGAACACCAAUGGCGAAGGCAGCUCGCUGGGACGGUACUGACGCUGAGACGCGAAAGCGUGGGGAGCAAACAGG
rnacentral:rRNA from 1 species